GACGAACGCUGGCGGCGUGCUUGACACAUGCAAGUCGAACGGAAAGGCCUGCUUUCCCUUGUGGAUUGCGGGUACUCGAGUGGCGAACGGGUGAGUAACACGUGAGUGAUCUGCCCCCAACUUGGGUAUAAGCCUGGGAAACUGGGUCUAAUUCCCGAUAGGACUGCAGGGUGGUGCCUGUGGUGGAAAACGAUUUUCUAGUGGUUGGGGAUGAGCUCGCGGCCUAUCAGCUUGUUGGUGGGGUAAUGGCCUACCAAGGCGGCGACGGGUAGCCGGCCUGAGAGGGUGGACGGCCACAGUGGGACUGAGAUACGGCCCAGACUCCUACGGGAGGCAGCAGUGGGGAAUAGUGCACAAUGGGCGGAAGCCUGAUGCAGCGACGCCGCGUGGGGGAUGACGGCCUUCGGGUUGUAAACUCCUUUCGACCGCGAGGAAGCCACCUGGUUGGAAGGGUGGUGACGGUAGUGGUAGAAGAAGCACCGGCUAACUACGUG
rnacentral:rRNA from 1 species